CCUACGGGAGGCAGCAGUGGGGAAUAUUGCACAAUGGGGGAAACCCUGAUGCAGCGACGCCGCGUGAGUGAAGAAGUAAUUCGUUAUGUAAAGCUCUAUCAGCAGGGAAGAAAAUGACGGUACCUGAGUAAGAAGCCCCGGCUAACUACGUGCCAGCAGCCGCGGUAAUACGUAGGGGGCAAGCGUUAUCCGGAUUUACUGGGUGUAAAGGGAGCGUAGACGGCAGUGCAAGUCUGGAGUGAAAGGCGGGGGCUCAACCCCCGGACUGCUCUGGAAACUGUACGGCUGGAGUGCAGGAGAGGUAAGUGGAAAUCCUAGUGUAGCGGUGGAAUGCGUAGAUAUUAGGAGGAACACCAGGGGCGAAGGCGGCUUACUGGACUGUAACUGACGUUGAGGCUCGAAAGCGUGGGGAGCAAACAGGAUUAGAUACCCGAGUAGUC
rnacentral:rRNA from 1 species